rnacentral:misc_RNA from 1 species
UGGUUCUGGCAUCGAUGAAGAACGCAGCGAAAUGCGAUAAGUAAUGUGAAUUGCAGAAUUCAGUGAAUCAUCGAAUCUUUGAACGCACAUUGCGCCCCUUGGUAUUCCGAGGGGCAUGCCUGUUCGAGCGUCAUUAUAACCAAUCAAGCUUGUCUUGGUAUUGGGGUUCGCCUUCUAGCGGCCCUUAAACCUAAUGGCGGUGCCGUUGGGCUCUCAGCGUAGUAAUACUCCUCGCUACAGGGUCUCGCGGUUGCUUGCCAACAACCCCCAACUUUCUCAGGUUGACCUCGGAUCAGGUAGGGAUACCCGCUGA